rnacentral:rRNA from 1 species
UACGAAGGGGGCUAGCGUUGCUCGGAAUCACUGGGCGUAAAGGGCACGUAGGCGGAUUGCUAAGUCAGGGGUGAAAUCCUGGAGCUCAACUCCAGAACUGCCUUUGAUACUGGGGAUCUCGAGUCCGGAAGAGGUGAGUGGAACUCCGAGUGUAGAGGUGAAAUUCGUAGAUAUUCGGAAGAACACCAGUGGCGAAGGCGACAUACUGGCUCAUUACUGACGCUGAGGCUCGAAAGCGUGGGGAGCAAACAGG